ACGAACAAGAAUUCAUUGUCCCAACAGGCUCGCUGUUCUCCCUAGAUGACUGUGGGCAGGGAUGUUCCCAGAGCAAUGUCUGUGACUGUCAGAUCCAAAUCACCGUCGGAUGGGGAACGAAGGCGCAGAGGGAUUAAAUGACUUGCCAAAGGUGGCAGCGGGGGAAAUUGCAUCCAGAUCUCCCGUGUGCCCAGUUUAGGGCUUUAAGCCAUAAAACCAUCCUUCCUGGACUUCAAGGAAGUUUUCAAGGUCGUCACGGCUGCAGGAAGACCAAGAAAGGUCACUGGGGUUCCUGCCCUUCACCCAUUCUCCAGACAUUAUGUGAGAUCUUCCUGCGCAGGACAAAUGG